AUUGAACGCAGGCGGCAGGCCUAACACAUGCAAGUCGAACGGCAGCACAGAAGAGCUUGCUCUUUGGGUGGCGAGUGGCGGACGGGUGAGUAAUGUCUGGGAAACUGCCCGAUGGAGGGGGAUAACUACUGGAAACGGUAGCUAAUACCGCAUAACGUCGCAAGACCAAAGUGGGGGACCUUCGGGCCUCACACCAUCGGAUGUGCCCAGAUGGGAUUAGCUAGUAGGUGGGGUAAUGGCUCACCUAGGCGACGAUCCCUAGCUGGUCUGAGAGGAUGACCAGCCACACGGGAACUGAGACACGGUCCAGACUCCUACGGGAGGCAGCAGUGGGGAAUAUUGCACAAUGGGCGCAAGCCGGAUGCAGCCAUGCCGCGUGUAUGAAGAAGGCCUUCGGGUUGUAAAGUACUUUCAGCGGGGAGGAAGGCGGUGAGGUUAAUAACCUUGCCGAUUGACGUUACCCGCAGAAGAAGCACCGGCUAACUCCGUGCCAGCAGCCGCGGUAA
rnacentral:rRNA from 1 species